GAUGAACGCUGGCGGCGUGCCUAAUACAUGCAAGUCGAGCGAAUGGAUUAAGAGCUUGCUCUUAUGAAGUUAGCGGCGGACGGGUGAGUAACACGUGAGUAACCUGCCCAUAAGACUGGGAUAACUCCGGGAAACCGGGGCUAAUACCGGAUAACAUUUUGAACCGCAUGGUUCGAAAUUGAAAGGCGGCUUCGGCUGUCACUUAUGCAGGGAACGGCGUCGCAUUAGCUAGUUGGUGAGGUAACGGCUCACCAAGGCAACGAUGCGUAGCCGACCUGAGAGGGUGAUCGGCCACACUGGGACUGAGACACGGCCCAGACUCCUACGGGAGGCAGCAGUAGGGAAUCUUCCGCAAUGGACGAAAGUCUGACGGAGCAACGCCGCGUGAGUGAUGAAGGCUUUCGGGUCGUAAAACUCUGUUGUUAGGGAAGAACAAGUGCUAGUUGAAUAAGCUGGCACCUUGACGGUACCUAACCAGAAAGCCACGGCUAACUACGUGCCAGCCGCCGCAGUAA
rnacentral:rRNA from 1 species